GCAAGUCGAACGAGAACGGGUUAAAGUUUACUUUAAUUGUCAGCUAAGUGGCGCACGGGUGAGUAAUAUAUAGUUAACCUGCCCUAGAGAGAGGGAUAACGUUUGGAAACGGACGCUAAUACCUCAUAUGCCUUUAAGUCAAAAGACUGCAAGGGAAAUAUUUAUAGCUCUAGGAUGGGACUGUACGGUAUCAGAUAGUUGGUGAGGUAAUGGCUCACCAAGUCAAUGACGCCUAACUGGUUUGAGAGGAUGAUC
rnacentral:rRNA from 1 species